rnacentral:rRNA from 1 species
GUUGAACGCUGGCGGCGGGCCUAAUACAUGCAAGUCGAGCGGACGAAGGGAGAUCGCUCCUGUCUUCAGUGGCCGACGGGUGAGUAAUGCCUAGGAAUCUACCUGACCUAUGGGGAUAAGGUCACUUCACGGGCCCUAAUCUCACAUCCGUCAUUAUGUUGAAACUCAGGGUUCUUCAGUGCUAACGCUUUUUGAUGAGCCUAGGUCGGAUUAGCUAGUUGGUGAGGUAAAGUCCUACCAAGGCGACGAUCCGUAACUGGUCUGAGAGGCUGAUCAGUCACACUGGAACUGAGACACGGUCCAGACUCCUACGGGAGGCAGCAGUGGGGAAUAUUGGGCAAUGGGCGAAAGCCUGACCCAGCCACGCCGCGUGAGUGAAGAAGGUCUUCGGAUUGUAAAGCACUGUAAGUUGGGAGGAAGGGAAGUAAAAGAAACCCUGCCUGUCUUGACGGUACCUACACAGUAAGCACCGGCUAACUACGUG